GAGUUCUGUAGACGUUAGAAUGAGCAUGUGGCAGGAUGAAGGCUCCCUGGGAUUCUGUUGUCUGGUUUUUUUACAGUGAGUAGGAGAAACCCUAGUUAGUAUUUCUACAGAAAAACCACCAGAAUGAAUCAUCCUCUAGGGGGCAACAAAGUGUGACUCAGGCUCUGAACUGCAGGAACCACGGAGGGAUUGACCCUGAAGUCUGGAACAGUCUGAAACGCAAGAAAACAGUGGGCAAGCUUCCAUUGUAUUAUUGUCUUCAAGAAUAUCUAAUGUUCUAUAGUAAUGAUAAGUGAUGCUGAGGCGGACAGAAGGACGAGGAGCUGGAGCAGUUGAAUGGAAUCCAAGCCUCAAGUCUGGGCAAACCUCGAGGAACAAGCAGAUCUGUCUGACUCAGAUGACAGAGGAAAGCCAAAGAAGAAAAAAAACAGAAAGAGGUUUUUAGGGUGGAUGUGGCAACCGUGAGAAUGUUCCUGAACCACAGGCAAGAAGGAACUGCUGCAAUCUAUUCCUCUUGGACUUGGGCUGACACUAGAAUUCAAGAAUUGGGCACUGUAAUCAUGUCGAGGACACAUGACUCGCAAAUGAAGCAAGGCAGAAGUUGCCCUUCAGGUUCUGCUGACUGCUGAGACACA
rnacentral:lncRNA from 1 species